rnacentral:rRNA from 1 species
AUUGAACGCUGGCGGCAGGCCUAACACAUGCAAGUCGAGCGGAUGAAGGGAGCUUGCUCCUGGAUUCAGCGGCGGACGGGUGAGUAAUGCCUAGGAAUCUGCCUGGUAGUGGGGGAUAACGUCCGGAAACGGGCGCUAAUACCGCAUACGUCCUGAGGGAGAAAGUGGGGGAUCUUCGGACCUCACGCUAUCAGAUGAGCCUAGGUCGGAUUAGCUAGUUGGUGGGGUAAAGGCCUACCAAGGCGACGAUCCGUAACUGGUCUGAGAGGAUGAUCAGUCACACUGGAACUGAGACACGGUCCAGACUCCUACGGGAGGCAGCAGUGGGGAAUAUUGGACAAUGGGCGAAAGCCUGAUCCAGCCAUCCCGCGUGUGUGAAGAAGGUCUUCGGAUUGUAAAGCACUUUAAGUUGGGAGGAAGGGCGGUAAGUUAAUACCUUGCUGUUUUGACGUUACCAACAGAAUAAGCACCGGCUAACUUCGUG